rnacentral:rRNA from 1 species
GCCAGACUCCUACGGGAGGCAGCAGUGAGGAAUAUUGGUCAAUGGGCGGGAGCCUGAACCAGCCAAGCCGCGUGAGGGAAGAAGGUACAGCGUAUCGUAAACCUCUUUUGUCAGGGAACAAAGGCGGGGACUAGUCCCCGGAUGAGGGUACCUGAAGAAAAAGCAUCGGCUAACUCCGUGCCAGCAGCCGCGGUAAUACGGAGGAUGCGAGCGUUAUCCGGAUUUAUUGGGUUUAAAGGGUGCGUAGGCGGAGUGUCAAGUCAGCGGUAAAAUUUCGGGGCUCAACCCCGUCGUGCCGUUGAAACUGACGCCCUUGAGUGAGUGAGAAGUAAGCGGAAUGCGUGGUGUAGCGGUGAAAUGCAUAGAUAUCACGAAGAACUCCGAUUGCGAAGGCAGCUUACUAAACUGCCACUGACAUUGAUGCUCGAAAGUGUGGGUAUCAAACAGGAUUAGAUACCCGAGUA